AGAGCGAACGUUAGCGGCGGGCCUAACACAUGCAAGUCGAACGAGAAUGAGGGGGCAACUCCUCUAGUAAAGUGGCGGACGGGUGCGUAACACGUAGGUAAUUUACCUUCCGGCGGGGGACAACAGUCCGAAAGGAUUGCUAAUACCGCAUACGUCGGCGAGACCUCAGGGUCUUGUCGGGAAAGAUGGCCUCUCCUUGGAAGCUGUCACCGGAAGAUGAACCUGCGGCCCAUCAGCUUGUUGGCGAGGUAACGGCUCACCAAGGCUAAGACGGGUAGCUGGUCUGAGAGGAUGAUCAGCCACACUGGGACUGCGACACGGCCCAGACUCCUACGGGAGGCAGCAGUGGGAAUAGUUGGGCAAGUGGGCGAAAGCCUGACCCAGCCACGCCGCGUGAGUGAGUGAACGGCCUUCGGGUACGUAAAGCGUCGU
rnacentral:rRNA from 1 species